rfam:Pneumocystis jirovecii RT7 supercont1.18, whole genome shotgun sequence.
GGCUCUAUGGUCUAGUAGUAAGAUUCCGCUUUCGGGUCGUCUCUCUUGACAUGAAUAGCGGAGGUCCCGGGUUCAAUUCCCGGUAGAGCCC